ACUGCCUUGUGCCAUGUCCACUGAGAACAAGACCCUCCAUGAUGGCGCCCCAAGGCCAUGUGAACCUAUGUGGAAAUAAACCCAGUAGAGCACAGAGCAGUGCAGGAUCAGAUGCCCAGCACAGGGUGCGACACUCCUUCUCAAAGGCAAGUUGGGUAAACAAAGAAUGUGGUCCAUGAUUAAAAGUACAAUGUAAGAUUUCCUAGGCCUUAUCGUUUCACUCUGUUUGUGCCUCUGUUGCUUCCUUUUUAUUUCUCCUCAAUAAUGAACAUUUAAAAAAAUGUUUAAAGAUAAGUCAAAAGAGAGCUGUUGACUGGCCUUCUGUGCAGCAAGGCAGGGAAACCAGAUUAACUGUGUUCAGUCUUGCAGCCACAUGUGAAAACAAGCUACCGAGAAAGAGCCCAGAUGGAGAAAGCUCUGAGAAGAGCCUGUAACAUUGCGGGUAAGGGGUGAUGGGGAACUGGCCCGGACCUCUGUCUCUGUAAGUACAUCAGCAGAAAGGUCUGUUCACUUACUCAACACUUAGGUCUUCCUUCUGAAUGUUCAAAAUGACCCUUUAUAAUGAAUUUUUCCUUUCUUAGCAAGAUGUCUUAAAGAAUGGGUAUUUGACUUUUGAAUGAAUUCUGAAAAAUGGAAUACUUAAGAGGAAAUUUCUCUAUCAUAUCAAAGUCAAUCAACAUGCCUUCUGUGUGACAGGCACUGUGUUAGAGACAGGACAGAGAACUCAGGAUGCUGGCUCUGCCUGCAAGAAGCUUACCUUCAAGAUGGGAAGGCGGGUAGGCAACCAGCACAUACAUAUGAUGUGACUCUGAUGUCUUCAUUUUUAUGCCCUGAAUAGUUCUCAAAUUCAAGUUUUGAAGACAAAUUACUUUAUGAUGUGAGAGCAAAAAGAAUGUUUUCUUUAAAUGAUACAUAUAUUGGUAGUUUGUUAUAUUUUGAAAUUUCUUGAAUUAUCAUUUUUCUGAGAAAUUUAUGAUCCAUUUCUCACAUUUUCUUGGUGUGGGGCAUGAUGGAGGAGGGUCAUUCAUUUUGGAAAUGUUUUUGCUAAAGUGUUAAGAAACGGAGGUUGAGAAACUUCAGGCUGGCUUCUUAGCUCCUGACUGCAUCUUUUAAAGAGAGAAGUGAGCCUGAAUACAUUAAUUUUCAAUGGGAAAGGACAGUUUGGCACAGAAGGGAGAAGAGGACAACCCAGGUGUCCUGGAAAAAGUAGGACCAAGAAAAAGGGAACAGGAUAAGGUGGUAUGAAUAGACUUUCUAUGAAUACAAAUUGAGAUUUCAGUCACUCGUGGGACUUGGUACCAGGCCUCUUAUGUUUUUGUUAUUGUUUGUUUUGUUUUGUUUUUUCUUAUGCGAAAUUCUUAUGCAUUUGGGGAAGCUGGGUGACGAGUACAUAGGUACUCUUUUGAUAAUUUUUGUAACAUUUUAGUAAGCCUAAAACUAUCCCAAAAUAAAACUAAAAAAUACAGACAAGUAAUAAGUUCAAACAGAAACUAGUGGAGCCAAGAUCCGAAUCUAAAUCUGUUUAACUCUCAAACUCUUUAUCUUAGCCAUUAUAUUAUUCUAUCACUCUUUUUAUAUGAUUAAGUGAUUCUAUUCCCAUGUGUUCUUCAUUAACAAUGUUUUCUACCUGGAGCUCUAUUUCCUGGGGACCAAACCUGUAAUCAUGAACUCCAAUUAUUUUUAUGACUGAGUUGCCUAUUUGGGAUCUCCUGCCGUCACUUAUGACUGAUGCUAAUUGACGAACCUCUUCAAAGUAAUUUCCCUUAAUCUUGGACAUAGUAUUAGUUAUCUUAUUAUACAACAAAUUUCCCGUACAUUUAGUAGCUUAAAAAUGUAAACAUUUUAUUAUCUCUGUGGGUUAGGAAUUCAAGAGUGGCUUGGCUGGGUAGCUCUGGCUCAUGGUCUCUCAUAAGAUUGCAUUCAAGAUGUUGACCAAUCAUCUCAAGGUUUAACUGGGACUGGGGGAUCCAUUUCAAGAUGGCUCACUUACAUAGCUGGCAAGUUGGUGUUGGCUGUUGAAGGUGACCUCGGUUUCUCUCCACAUAGGCCUCUCUCCAGGUUCUUUGCCUGUCUGCAUGACCUGGAGGUUAACUUCUCCAAGAACAAGUGAUCCAUGAGAAAGAAAGCCAGUUGAAACUAUCUAAGACCUAGUCUCAAAAGUUAUAUAACAUCACUUCUCUCAUAUUUUAUUUGUUAGAAACAAGUCACUAAGUCAAGUCCAUAGUCAAAAGGAGAAGGAAUUAGAUCUGACCUAAUGAAAAGAGAAUCAGUGUCAAAGAAUUUGCAACAUAUUUUUUAAAACCACCAUACCUGUGUUGUGGUCAAUGGUACAUAUCCUAACUAUACAUCAUGCCAUGGACAUGUCUGGCUACAGCUUAAUAUUUCUAAUUACUGCUCCUGGAAAUAAUCUGUCCUAAGAUUUAUUUCCUUAUUCAUACCUAGGACUUUGUUAAAUCUUCUGAAUCUUCUGAAUAGAAUAGAAGAUGAAAUGAUGGAAAACCCAAGCAAUACUUGCUUAGGACAAGUGGGCAUUUGUUGGCUCAUGCAACCCAAAGAACUCUAGGACAAUUAAAUCCCAGGAUGGGUAGUAAUUCAGAGAAAUAAGUGGGACCAGGAGCUUGAACACUGACAAGACUAUACCUUUGUGUCCUGUCUGUGCUCUUCUUGGUAUGUCAAUUGCAGUCUUUCUCACUUCAGAGAAGUUUUGUAUACAUGAUAGAAACUAUAGCUCCUGGCACUUCCAAAAUUUACAUUCCACAGUCUGACAUAAGAGAGAGUCCAGAUGAUGGUCAGCCUCCUGUAACAUGGUAGCUAGCUCCUGGGGUUUCCACAAGUUGGCCUUCAGAAGAAAAGGGUGCCCUGGAGGAGUGAGGAGAGUGAUGGAAAGGAAAACACAAGAGUCCUAUAAAGGGUUUCUAGAAAAAGUACCAAGAGUGAUAAGUAUAAAUACUGAAGGUAGAAACAGCAUUUUAUUUUCAUGCAUUUCUCCAUAUUCCAUUUUAAAUUAAAAUAGUGAUAAAAACAGCCUUUAUAUGGAAACUGCACACAUUUUUUGGUGACUUUCUUCUGUGUGGGUACCCACGGUAAUAGUUGGCAUUAAUAUUGACAUAUUUUAAUUAGAACAACAUGGCCAGUAGAUAUGUUCUAAGUUUUUAUUUGAAUUCUAGAAGAAGCAUUUAAGAACUGGCUCUAGUCUUUUCUUGGUUACAAAAUAGAAUUCACCCCCUUAGGUCUUUCGGUAACACAGAAGACACAUUUGCAAUAUUUUCAUCCAUGACAGGUGGACACAUUUCCCAGAAGGGCAAUAGACAAACUGGUAGGACCCAAUUCCAAGAAGUAAAAACCAUCAAACUUUUGCAAAACAACAGUUCUGCUAAUAGUUGUGCAUGGUGUGUGUGUGUGUGUGUUUGUGUAUGUGUGUGUGAGAGAGAGAGAGAGACUGACAGAGAAACAGAAUACUUAGAGAAGCAAUGCUAGAAAAUUGUAUAUACACCAAUAUGCCUAUUUCUUUUUGUAUUUUAAAUAGUCUAAUAUGACCAAAGAGUUUGACCAAAAAAGUCUAAGAUUGCUAGUUCUAUAAAUAAGUCUUUAAAGAAAUACACACAUGCACAUAUUAUGUACUUUACAUUUUCUUUAUAAAAUAUAUUUUAUAAAAUGCACAAAUACUAUGUACUUUCUUUAUGAAAAGUAUAUUUACUUUAGACAUUUGACUUUGGCAGGCAUUUUCUUCAGUUCCCGUCAUGGCCUGGUUCAUAAAAUUU
rnacentral:lncRNA from 1 species